UACGUAGGGGGCAAGCGUUGUCCGGAAUCAUUGGGCGUAAAGAGCGUGUAGGCGGUUCGGUAAGUCGGCUGUGAAAGUCCAGGGCUCAACCCUGGGAUGCCGGUCGAUACUGCCGGACUAGAGUUCGGAAGAGGCGAGUGGAAUUCCCGGUGUAGCGGUGAAAUGCGCAGAUAUCGGGAGGAACACCUAUGGCGAAGGCAGCUCGCUGGGACGUUACUGACGCUGAGACGCGAAAGCGUGGGGGAGCA
rnacentral:rRNA from 1 species